rnacentral:misc_RNA from 1 species
AAGACUAUAGACCUGCGGAGUACCUGCGGAAGGAUCAUUACCGAGUGAGGCCAUUCUCGUGGCCCUCCAACCCUCAAGACCUGUGGACCAUGUAAACUGUGCUUCGGCGCUCGCGGGCGCCGCAUUUAUGCAAGACAAAAGCGAUGCGUCUGGAUAAUGAGUAAUGAUUUAAAACUUUCAGCAACGGAUCUCU